CUUACCUAACUAUCAGAUUGAUAAGAAUGUUGUUUGUGAUGACCACAUAAACUAUAUAAUUAGACAUUUUAUAGUUUAAACCCACUUUACUAAAUACGGUGGUGUAUUAAAAGGCAGUUGAAAGAACUCCAUAGCCUUGCGAUUCAAUGAUGCUUAAAACAUUUGAUUAUAGAUUAUAUAUAAAUACACUACUCCUUUGUUCCUUUUAAUCAAAGCAACAAAGGCAUUCUUUUACAUCCAAUGCCAGAAUUACGUGUUUAUUGUCGUUUAUGAGACACACGGCUCCCUAACUUGAUAUAGGGACGAACUAAUUCGGGAUUUGAGAGCUAGUUACCUUUCCAUACAAGGAGAGUGGGUAGAGCCAACCAAUUAAGUUUAGUCCCUUCGAAUCUAAAUCCACUUUGCCCAUCGAGAAAGGUUGAUCAAAGCAGCAGAGAGAUGAGAAGCGGAUAAGCCAUGCCAUCUAGUAUGCCUCAGAGGCUGCGUUGCAUGGAGGCCUCCCCUCACUGUUGCUCUUUCUUGGGUUCCACUCCACCAAAUCUCUCACAUCCCGGUUCUAUCGAGCUGGUCUUUUCCUGCCCUCAUGAUUUCUUGGUCUUGCUUGGCGUUCUUGGCUGUUUUGGCAUGGUUUUGAUGUUCUAUGCUUCCGAAUCUGAUUCGCUUCUUCCCGUACUGUUGUGACCUCAAACUCUAGCAAAGGAUGAAAUGGUGGUCUUGAUCUGAACAAUGCUGAAUCCUCUCCCAAGUGAGAAACAAGCAGAUGGAAGAGAUGGCUACUCGGUCACAUCUGGUUGUUUCCUUGAAGGCAAUUCAUUCUUGGCUUAUCGACAAUGAUGGUCUUAUCAUCAUGUAACAUUACAAUGAUAGUGAAAGUCCUGCAUGCUAUGGUGAUUGUGAAUGUUUGUUUACUGACUGAUUGCUGUGCAAAAUGUUUGAGUCCAUUAUUUUUCAGAUACGUUUGAUCUCUGUAGAAACAGAUCAUGAAGAUUUCAGUGGGAAUUUCCCGGUGGUAACUUGGAUUUUAUGUUA